rnacentral:rRNA from 1 species
UACGGGGGGUGCAAGCGUUAAUCGGAAUUACUGGGCGUAAAGGGUGCGUAGGUUGUUUUAUAAGCUAGUUGCGAAAUACCUAGGCUUAACCUUGGGGAGUCAACUAGGACUGUAAGACUUGAGUAUGGGAGAGGGUAGUGGAAUUUCCGGUGUAGCGGUGAAAUGCGUAGAGAUCGGAAGGAACACCGGUGGCGAAGGCGGCUACCUGGCCCAUGACUGACACUGAGGCACGAAAGCGUGGGGAGCAAACAGG